UCCCCUGUGGCUCAGUUAAUAGAGCAAGGCACUUUCAAUGCCAGGAUUGUGGGUUCAAUUUCCACAGAGGAC
rnacentral:tRNA from 1 species